GUUAUAGCUCAGUGGUUGAGCGCUUGCCUUGCACAUGUGAGGUACUGGGUUCAAUCCUCAGCACAACA
rnacentral:tRNA from 1 species